UCUCUCAUCCUCCUUGCCGGAAAUCGCCGCCGCCGUACCGCCGCCGGCCGCCGGAACCCCUCUCCUCACCAAAAUUUCCAGAUUUUCUCCUCUUCCUCCCCUCUUUCCAUUUCUCCAACCAAAAUCAUGAAAUUUAGCCAUUUAAUCCUCCAAAAACCCUAGAACCCGAAGCUAAAAUUGGGGCUUUUGUGAUUUCUUCUUUCCAAGCUCAAAUCAAGGUAGGCUACGGGUUUGGCAAUGAUUUUUGGUGAAGAAGGCCAAUGAAGAGGAUUAGGCCAUGAGUUUUGAAGAAGAAAGGGACCCGAGCGGGUGCACUUGGAUUUGGAUAAAGGAUCGAAAGUCGGGAACGAACCCGAAUGUGGGCAAGCACUCCAAUUCCAGUGUGCAGGUUUCGAACAUGUGGUCGGGGAGCGUACGAAGGAGGCAUAUGGCUCGGCUUGGCGCAUUCUUCUUUGACUUAUUUAAAAGAAGGUUUUGGUCCCUUCUUGGGUUUUGAAAUCACUUGUUUAGUUAUUUAUUUAUUUAUUUAUUUAUUUCCUACUCGUUUACAAAAAUUCCGGGAGACCCGUAACCCUGGGGCGCGUCUCCCAUACUUGUAGUUACUUAGUGAUCUGUUUUAUUUUCCAAAUUGGGCUCCGAUCGCAAGCCCAAAACUCUUAGCCCAUUUCGAAUUCCGCUUUUGUAAAUGUGUUGUUUGGUUGCUAGAAUGACUUGUCCAGGAAAAUGUUUUGUGAACCAACCAGCUAAACCCAAAAGGCCUUGCGGUUUCGGGUUGAUGAGUCAUCGGGAUGUCAUGCGUGACAUGUCGAUUUCUCAUUGGCUCGGGGUCGCGGCACUGUGGGACCCCCCUCUCGGGUCACCACACUAGUUUAACUGGGACUCCUUGUGUCAUUAGGAUUCCUUUUCCUGGCAGGAGUAGGUUUCCUAGUCCAACUAGGACACUGCAUUUUUCGCCUAUUCUCCAAUCAUGUUUUCUAGUUGACCCAGGAUUCCUACUUUGACUGAUUUUCCCAGUCGGACCAGGAUUUCCUGGCUGGACCGGACCAGGAAAACUUCAUUUCUUCAUUUUUGUAGCCCUCGUGCCUUGCUUCUAUUAUUUCCAACGUU